rnacentral:siRNA from 1 species
ACUACUCAUGGGUACCCAACUUGG